AGCUUUGCGCAGUGGCAGUGUCGUAGCCAGUGAGGUGUAUCCGAGGCGCGAUUAUUGCUAAUUGAAAAAUGUCUCCAAACAUUUCCAAAUGUCCCCAAGGGG
rnacentral:snRNA from 1 species